rnacentral:ncRNA from 1 species
AAGCAAUUGAAGGAGACCUGCAGAAGAAGAUGAGGCAAACUGGAGAGUGGCUCGCCACCAAUGUUGAGCCUCAAAUUCACUCCAAAAGUAACUAUUUGCAAUUCCUUUCUUUUUAGUACUUACAUCUUCAUUUUAGUCACUUUUUAUACAUAAUAAAGUUUCAUGUCCCUUUAUGCCCUGGGCGACACGUGCUACAAUGGACGGGACAAAGGAUUGCGAUCUUGUGAGGCAAUUCCAAAAAUCCGUCCUCAGUUCGGAUUGUAGGCUGUAACUCCCCUGUAUGAAGCCGGAAUCGCUAGUAAUCGCCGGUCAGUCAUACGGCGGUGAAUUCGUUCCCGGACCUUGUACA